CCUACGGGUGGCUGCAGUCGAGAAUCAUUCACAAUGGGCGAAACCCUGAUGGUGCGACGCCGCGUGAGGGAAUGAAGGUCUUCGGAUUGUAAACCCCUGUCAUGUGGGAGCAAAUUAAAAAGAUAGUACCACAAGAGGAAGAGACGGCUAACUCUGUGCCAGCAGCCGCGGUAAUACAGAGGUCUCAAGCGUUGUUCGGAAUCACUGGGCGUAAAGCGUGCGUAGGCUGGUUCGUAAGGCGUGUGUGAAAGGCGCGGGCUCAACCCGCGGACGGCACAUGAUACUGCGAGACUAGAGUGAUGGAGGGGGAAGCGGAAUGCGCGGUGUAGCAGUGAAAUGCGUAGAUAUCGAGAGGAACACUCGUGGCGAAGGCAGGUUACUGGAAAUUAACUGACGCUGAGGCACGAAGGCGAGGGGAGCGAAAGGGAUUAGAUACCCCAGUAGUC
rnacentral:rRNA from 1 species